rnacentral:rRNA from 1 species
UGGGGAAUAUUGCACAAUGGGCGCAAGCCUGAUGCAGCCAUGCCGCGUGUAUGAAGAAGGCCUUCGGGUUGUAAAGUACUUUCAGCGGGGAGGAAGGUGUUGAGGCUAAUAACCUCAGCAAUUGACGUUACCCGCAGAAGAAGCACCGGCUAACUCCGUGCCAGCAGCCGCGGUAAUACGGAGGGUGCAAGCGUUAAUCGGAAUUACUGGGCGUAAAGCGCACGCAGGUGGUCUGUCAAGUCGGAUGUGAAAUCCCCGGGCUCAACCUGGGAACUGCAUUCGAAACUGGCAGGCUAGAGUCUUGUAGAGGGGGGUAGAAUUCCAGGUGUGGCGGUGAAAUGCGUAGAGAUCUGGAGGAAUACCGGUGGCGAAGGCGGCCCCCUGGACAAAGACUGACGCUCAGGUGCGAAAGCGUGGGGAGCAAACA